rnacentral:lncRNA from 1 species
UUUGUCUUUUGGAUACAAAUUACUCAGCUUAUAGCCCUCAUCAUGAAUAUUUUCUAUUUAAAAAGGAACAUUUCCUUGGUAGUUUAUCUCCAGUGCUCCCCAUGCAUUAGUCAAGAUUCAUCAUGAAAGCUUUACAGACCCUUCCAAGUUGGACAGUCAUAAAGAGAUGAAAAUUGUAUGAUCACCAAACCUCAGGAGUGUACCUUGGCAAUUAUUGUCAGUCUGGCACAAAAACAUUUAUUGCUGCUUUCCAGGAUGAUGCAGACAUCUCCAUGAUUAAGCAAUUAGGUAUUGUAUUCUCUUCAUCCUAGGUAGUAGCAGAGACAGUGGUUGUGAUCACAAAAGUCAACAAGUGGUAUGCUCAGGACUUUUUUCCACAUGGAUCCUGCACAACUUAUGAAAACCAUGGUAAACUCAUGGCUGGAGUACUAAUGUUAUCCUUUGCCUUAAAGAAGACCAAACAGAACAAAUGGGAGAAGAGUGUCAAGAAAAACAUGAAGAAAAAUUCACAGUUCAUAGACUACUUCAUCCUCUGUAUAUAGAGGAGGAGAAUGAUUGAAGGAUAUCGGAUAUGAUGAAGCAGAACAAGAGAAUACUGAGAAAGGUAAAGAUGAUGAGUAAAAGCCUAUGCUGGAAAAUGUGGGAUUAGAUGAGUAGGAGAUUAGAAAAGAUUAUAAAACAAGGAAGGAUGGAAGGAAGGAAGGAAGGAAGGAAGGAAGGAAGGAAGGAAGGAAGGAAUUAAGGAAGGAAGAGAGAAAGAAAGAAAGAAAGAAAGAAAGAAAGAAAGAAAGAAAGAAGUAAAGAAAGAAAACCAAGUUUAAUUUGAUCAGAAAAGGUUGAAUAAUAUUUUGCCUAUUUGAUACAUGAACACUGAUGACAUUACUUAAGAGAAAUAUUAUGAAUUCUGUAAGAACCUCACCAGUCAUUAGGAAGUACAUUAAGCAGCAAAGAAGUUCUUUGUAGAAGUGCAAUUAGAAUUAAGAGCAUUGUACUUCAUUCCUAAGUGUGCUACAUUUGACAUUUUGAGAACAAGAAAAGCACUGUCUACCAGGAUCUCCAUCAGGUUUUAAUCAUGGACAACGGUGAUGAGCUGAUACAGAGUACCUCAAUGUUAUCCAUGGCAUGGUUGACUUGGAGAACCUGCCUAUGAACAUCUUAUGAGAAAUUUUCCAGCAGAGCAAGAUAGUGAAAGACCUUCAUGGAAACAUGGAAAAAAGGUUCCUUGAGCUCUUCUUCUCUGAGUUGGCUGAAGACAAAUAAAAACACAAGAAAUUUUAUAAUUCAUUAUCAAAGAAUUUAAAUCUUAGAAUCCAUGAAGGUUAUAUAAAGUGUCUGAGUUUUAUCCUUUUUUGAAUCUCUAAGUCUGGAAGUGAGAUGAAUACCUGUCAGAGUAUGUGUCUUGUAUGAAAGAGACAUGGAAGUCAAAGUGAGAACAAAGGGCAUAUGGCAAAAUGAUUCUUUUGGAGCAUAUGCAGAAAUGGGGCACUCGGGUGGUGUAUAUAACCGAGCCUAUUGAUGAGUAAGGCAUGCAGUAGCUUAAAUAAUUUGAUGGAAAAAUGCCUCCUCUUUGUAACUAAAUAAGGCCUGAAGCUACCAUAGGAUGAGGAAGAGAGGGAAAAAUGGAAAAGAAGGAGGAAAAGGUUAAGACUCUCUGCAAUCUCAUAAUGAAUAUCUUGAAAUAGAGGUUUGAGAAGGUGAGAAUUUCAUAUAGGCUUGUGUCUUCAACGUGCUACACAGUUACAAGCAACUAUGGCUAGACAGUCAACAUGAACUGGACCAUAAAGGCUCGGAAACAUAGACAAACAUCAGCAAUGGGCUAAAUAAUGGCCAGAAAGCAUCUGGAAAUCAAUACUGAACACCCAAUUGAGGAGACCCAGCUGUAGAAAGCUGAGGCAGGAAAAAUGAAAAACUAGCAAUGUGCUGCUGCUGUUUGAAACUGCUUUGCCAUCCACUGGUUUCUCACUUGAAAAUUCUCAACCCACUUCAACCACAUCUAUCCCAUGAUCACAAGAUGCCAGGACAUAGACAAAAAUAAGGUGUCAUAAGAGGAACACUAUGCUACAAUUCUUGAUGUGAUCCCCUUACUUGAGGCUGAAGAGGAUGCA